CGUGCGUUCACUCCCGCGGGGCGGGGGACGCGGCCGGACCCCUCCCAGCCCCAGCGCCGGGGCUCGGCCGGCUGCCGCCGCCGGGAGCGGUUGCCUGUUGCCUUUACAGACGUGGAAAUCCCUGCCGUUGCCAUAGUACCGGGCACUUGUUGCGAGGGGCUGGGGGAGCUGCCGCCUUCUCGCUGAUGCAUACCGACCCCCGUCCCCAACCCCGUGUCGAUUUCAGGUACUCAGACUCCACCUUUACCUUCACCUACAUUGGAGGCUCCAAAAGGUACCUUAUUUUUAGUCGUUACAUCCUUGUUCCCGGCUCGCAGCAUUGUUUCAGCCCCUUUUACUGCCUUGCCUUGUGCAAGGAGGAUCAAUCAGUAAAUCAUCCGCGUUCGCACAAACGUACACUGAGGAGGAGGUGUAGAGGGAGGUGACCAGAACGGUGAUCCUCGCCUGAGCGCUGCUCAGAGGCGCUUUGCUGCUUCUGUGUGUUCAUAUGUGUGUAUAGGCUAAUUUCUGCCAUAUGUAAGAUUAGGUUAAUUUCUGCCAUAUGUAGGAUUAACUGCAGGGUGUCAGCAUAUUGGAUACAGAGUUAAUUCAUCCUAAAAAAAAAAAAGA